GCCUGGGUGGCUCAGUUGGUUAAGCGUCUGACUUCAACUCAGGUCAUGAUCUUGUGGUUCGUGGGUUCAAGCCCCGCGUUGGGCU
rnacentral:tRNA from 1 species